CCUUCUUUCUCUCCAUAAUCCAUUUGUGCAGGCUUUAAUUUAAAGUCACGGAAGCACGUGUGCGGUCUGACAGUCCUCUCCACGGCCAUGAAGAAGACGGGGGCGGAACCCCUCCUUGUUGCCACUCCACCGAGUGGCCGCGUCCAUUCUGGGCCAGGUGGCCUGAUUUAAGGGGUAGGGAAAAGUGUCAGUUUUAGGGAUCUCAAAGGGUGGCGGUCCCAUGGCCCCGCUGGGAGGCGCCCCGCGGCUGGUGCUGCUGUUCAGCGGGAAGAGGAAAUCCGGGAAGGACUUCGUGACCGAGGCGCUGCAGAGCAGACUUGGAGCUGACGUGUGUGCUGUCCUCCGGCUCUCCGGUCCACUCAAGAAGCAGUAUGCUCAGGAGCACGGCUUAGACUUCCAGAGACUCCUGGAUGCCAGCACCUACAAGGAGCCCUUUCGGAGGGACAUGAUCCGCUGGGGGGAGGAGAAGCGCCAGGCCGACCCAGGCUUCUUCUGCAGGAAGAUCGUGGAGGGUGUCUCCCAGCCCAUCUGGCUGGUGAGUGACACACGGAGGGUGUCUGACAUCCAGUGGUUUCGGGAGGCCUAUGGGGCUGUGACGCAGACGGUCCGCGUGGUGGCCACAGAGCAGAGCCGACAGCAGCGGGGCUGGGUGUUCACACCAGGGGUGGAUGAUGCUGAGUCAGAAUGUGGCCUGGACAACGUCGGGGCCUUCGAUUGGGUCAUUGAGAACCACGGAGAUGAGCAGCACCUGGAGGAGCAGUUGGAGCACCUGAUAGAAUUUGUCCGCUCCAGACUUUAGCUGAUUCUUCACAGCCACCCUGUGAAAUAUUCGAGGAGUGCAUUUUCAUCUGCAUUUAGCAGAUGCCAAGGACUCAGAGAAGUGAACAACUUGCCCAGGGUGGAGGGUUCAUCCAGGGAGUGUCCAGUCAAAGCUGAGUUCCUAGGGAGCCCAAGAUGAGGGCGGUGAGGGCUCCCCCAGGAGGUGAGAGAUGGACCUGCUGCCUGCUUCCUGCUUUGGUGGUGGGUUUUUUUUUUUGAUGUGCACCAUUUUUAAAGUCUUUAUUGAAUUUGUUACAAUAUUUCUUCUGUUUUAUGUUUUGGUUUUUUGGCCGUGAGGCAUGUGGGAUCUUAGCUCCCCGACCAGGGAUUGAACCCGCACCCCCUGCAUUGGAAGGUGACGUCUUAACCAUUGGACCGCCAAGGAAGUUCCUCUUGCUUGGUUUUUGUCUUAAAUGAUAUCCACUUUCAGGGCCUGUGGAAGGUCUGUGUUAGGGACUGUGUUAGGUUUUCUGGGGAGUCAUCCAGAUAUGUGACAUCAUAGAAAGCAAGUACUAUAGUGGAACUCAGUGAUCUAGCUUCAGAUCCUUCACUUACAGAUGAGGAAACUGAGGCCCAGUGAGGGGAAGUGUUUUGCUCAACGACAUACAGCAAUAGUGGCAAUGCCAGGACUAGGCCUCAGGGCUCCUGACUCCCCAUGCAGGUCUCAUCCCCUGCCCUUCGUUUCCCUGUGGGAGCAUGAGCCUUGUGCCCUUUAUCAGAGGGUGGCAGAGAAGGCCCAGCUUGAGCUCUGGGGAGAUCCGCCAGGUUCCCUGCUUCCUGGGUUUUUCCAGACUUCCCUGAGGAGGCUGGGCCACCUGCCUAUGCCACCUGGUGUGUUCUGUUUAGAUGAGUCAAGCUGUACCAGGAGAGGCCACAGAGGCCGCUUCCCAGGAGGGAAUACUCGUGGCAUGAGGGGGAUGAGGAGGGGAGAGAUGGGUGUACACCUGGACCUGCCGUUCCUUGGAGGCUGGGGCUGGGAUGCUGGAGGUGGAGGGCCCUGCCCUGCACCACGGCUGCUUUCCAUCUGGGCGUUGACAGUGUCUGCUAAGUGGAGACCUUCCCAGCAAUGUGUCUGUAUCGUGAAAGCUCUGGUGAAUUUCCAGGCACACCCAGACCUGAGCCAGUGGUACUUUUGGCAACUCAUGUCUCCCGCUGCUGUGGCUGGCUGAUCCUGCAAGGUGGUGUGGAGGCCCCAGGAGAGCUGGCCUGGGCUGAUCAUUGUCCUAGCAGAUCUGGGAUGUUCCAGGAACUAUGAUAAGUCCUGUUGAGUAUUGGCCAAGCAAGCCAGGAAGGGCGGGGAGCUGAGGCCUUGGAUCCGUUUGGCAAAGUCAUUUUCAGCACCUGCCCUCUCGAGGGAGCACCAGGAAGGGGAGGUGCUCAGACCUUGCCCCAGUGGGGGGAGGGGCACAGGGAGGAUAUUAACUCAGGCGUCAGGCUUUACAGUUUACCAUGUGUUUUCAUGCAUAAUAUUUCAUUCCAUUCUCCCAGUAGCCCUAUUAUUGUUCCCAUUUUAGACUGAAGAAAUGGGGACAGAGAAAGGUGAGUGACUUUGCCCAGCAUGCUUUGUCAUCAGGUUUGAAUCCUACCUGUCAUUAUCCAGCUGUGGAACCUUGAGCAGGUUAGGUCACUUUCUUGAUUCCCACCUGUAAAACGGGAAUCUUGCUACUACUGCAGAGGUUGUGCAGGUAGCACUGUGCUUGCCCUUCGGGAGCUCACCUAAUGAGACUUCUUCUUUUCCCCCCUUGUCCCAAACCACAUGGCCAGCAACCGGGGAGUUGGGCCUGGAAUUUAGGUUUCUUUCCCUCUGAUAUGUGUGAGAUAAACUUGGCAUUUUUGAAAAGGAGUUCUUACUGAGAGAUAAAGGGAAACACAAACACAGAAAUGAGUGUGUGAACUAAGGGCAGAGUGCUGAGGCCAAGUCUGUGGUGCUGAGUCUCGGGCUGGCUUGCCUGGGGCUCACCCACACCUACCUCUGGCCCUUUGUCCCUUCUCAGUGUGUCUGGCUGGCCUAGACUUGCAUGGGCCCCCUGGCAGGUCCUCCAGGGUCCUUAAUGCCUUCCCAGAAGUUUCUCCCACUUGCUCUGGGAUUGGGCCCUCAGGGCGGGCUCGCUGAUGGAUUGUCUGAGCCCACCUUGAACUGGGAGGGGGUGCUCAACCAGAAUCAGCCCUGGAGCAGGCUCAGCUGUGCCCUUUGGAGGCCCCAGGGCCCAGAGCGGCUUCUCAGCACACCUCAGGAUGCCCACCCCUUCCCACCCUGGCACGCAGGCCGCAGAGGUUUUUCAAUUGAUUGUCAUUUUUCAAAUGACAUGUCUGGGAGGUCCACACUCAGGAUGGUACUGGGCAUGCAAGCACAAGUCAGGUGCGAUUCAGGGCUUGUUCAGACCUGGUUUACUUCUGUCAAUCAUUCCUUUUUUUAAAAAAAAUAAAUUUAUUUUAUUUAUUUAUUUUUGGCUGCGUUGGGUCUUCGUUGCUGCACGUGGGCUUUCUCUAGUUGCAGAGUAGGGGCUACUCUUCGUUGCGGUACGUGGGCUUCUCAUUGCAGUGGCUUCUCUUGUUGCGGAGCAUGGGCUCUAGGCAGGUGGGCUUCAGUAGUUGUGGCUCGCAGGCUCUAGAGCGUAGCCUCUGUAGCUGUUGCACACGGGCUUAGUUGCUCCGCGGCAUGUGGGAUCUUCCUGGACCAGGGCUCGAACCUGUGUCCCCUGCAUUGGCAGGCGGAUUCUUAACCACUGCACCACCAGGGAAGUCCUUGUCAAUCAGUCUUCAGAGGCCUCACUUUCAUGACAUCUGGUGGGAUUGAACUUGACCAACUCAGAAAAAUCCCAAUUGUCCGUUACUUUCAGCUUCCAUUAAGCCAAGCUGGUACGGGCUCACUCCUCCC